GCCGACCGAGGCAUCAGUAAAGACUAGCCUCACAGACACCAUUAAAGAUAGGAUAAUUUGUUACGAAAGAAAACUGGACUCUUGGAGCCCCUCUCUUCUUCGAACAAAGAAUGCCACUGCGGCCUCAAACACAGGUACACAUGACCUUUUAGCGAAGCCACGUGACGAGGCCGAGGCGUCUCGUGUAACACCUGAAGGAUAUCUGGCGACGAAUUACACGGAGGAAAAACCAGCUCCUCAUCACGGAGAUUUGAAGCAUUCAAGGGAACCCGACUCAGUGCCCGCGCAUCGCCUGUCUUCCAAUGUACCCCAGCCCCCACCGUCAAGACCAUCUCAUGAUGUCAUAAGGGCGCUGAAGCCGCCAUUACCAAUCAACGCUGAAACUGUAUCCAAGCAAGUUCUGUCCAAGCAGGCGCGCUAUCAGCCAAUCAGAGCGGAUGACCUCAUUGCUAAGGCGGGAACACUGACGAAACUGCAAGCGAGGCAGGCAUUUGCAAUGUAUCUUCAAAGAGUUCAACA